AUGAAAAAAGAUGAAAGCAUUAUGAGUGCCUCACAGCUCAUAAAUUUACUUUGUAAAUCCUGCUUUAUGUUCCUCCUCUCCUGUAUGAGCCAUUCACCGCGUUGCACGCUAAGAAGAGCAGUGUGCAAGUGUUUUAUUUACAGAAAUAAACAAUAGGCUGAGACAUAGGCCUACUGUGUAUACGUUUUCUUACGCCCCUUAAAACUAAUCAAAUCAAGACCUUGUGAUCUCCAGUAGGGGUCCCAACUUUCAGGUUGGGAACCAUUGUGUUACACUUUGUUCAAAAUCUCACCGCUAUCUGUAUGUGCAGACCUGUUUUCAUCCUAUUCUAUACAAUAUUGCCACGUCUGACACAUUUUUAUUCUAACAUCUUUCGCCAUUCUCAGAGAGGUUGAUAUAUGAUGUGAAAACAGUAAGACAAAUAGCAUUUGUGGAGCCUGCCACUGAUUUUCACCUGUGUGAAUUAACCAUAUCAGUAGUUUUAUCUCCUUAACUACAAUUCAGUUGUUUUACAUUUAUGCUGACCAUUUCCAAAUUAAUGUUAAAUAGUUUUUAAUUUUAAAUAUAUUUCUUUUACCCUUAGGGGCAGGCAUUGAUUUCCUUUGGUUUCUGUGUGCAGACUCUACCACACAACAAUAUUAAACAAAGCAUGGUUUGGAAAAUUGUUAACUGUGAUGUAAAAUAAGUUAAGUACAGCAUGCAAUGCCAGUGCUAUGGUCCUUAAAGCCAACAACUGUUAAGAAAAACAGAGCUUAUCUGGGUCAAAUUACAAGGAAUUAAAGGUAGUUGAUGGUUUCACUUUGCAGGCUUUUUUGCAAUGUGUAGUAAUGUAUUAAGCACAUUUAGCAGUUACAUAGUUAAGAGGAGUUUUUGUAAUAAACUUUAAACUUUACACAAGCUUUUUUUGUACAUUUCUUUUUCCUAUUUGUUUUGCAAAAGUAAUGGACAGGUAGAGAAUAUUGAAAGAAAACUCCCCUUUGGCAUUGCCAUUUGAAAAACAUCAUUAAGUGUCUCACUCACUCACUUUCAAUAAAGUGCUGGAUUCUGUUUCCCUUCUUUAACAUUCAAUAAACUGCACUUCCCAGAAACCCAAAACACGAUACAGCCGUUUAUGUGUGUGUGUGUGUGUGAGUGUGUGUGUGUGUGUGUGUGUGUGUGUGUGUGUGUGUGUGUGUGUGUGUGUGUGUGUGUGUGUGUGUGUGUGAGAGAGAGAGAGACUGAAAG
rnacentral:lncRNA from 15 species